rnacentral:rRNA from 1 species
UUAAGCGACUAAGCGUACACGGUGGAUGCCCUGGCAGUCAGAGGCGAUGAAGGACGUGCUAAUCUGCGAAAAGCGCCGGCGAGGUGAUAUGAACCUUUGACCCGGCGAUGUCCGAAUGGGGAAACCCAGUGUGUUUCGACACACUAUCGUUAAUUGAAUACAUAGGUUAACGAGGCGAACCGGGGGAACUGAAACAUCUAAGUACCCCGAGGAAAAGAAAUCAACCGAGAUUCCCCCAGUAGCGGCGAGCGAACGGGGAGCAGCCCAGAGUCUGAAUCAGCUUGUGUGUUAGUGGAACGGUCUGGAAAGUCCGGCGAUACAGGGUGACAGCCCCGUACACGAAAAUGCACAGGUUGUGAACUCGAAGAGUAGGGCGGGACACGUGGUAUCCUGUCUGAAUAUGGGGGGACCAUCCUCCAAGGCUAAAUACUCCUGACUGACCGAUAGUGAACCAGUACCGUGAGGGAAAGGCGAAAAGAACCCCGGCGAGGGGAGUGAAAAAGAACCUGAAACCGUGUACGUACAAGCAGUGGGAGCACCUUCGUGGUGUGACUGCGUACCUUUUGUAUAAUGGGUCAGCGACUUAUAUUCUGUAGCAAGGUUAACCGUAUAGGGGAGCCGAAGGGAAACCGAGUCUUAACUGGGCGUUAAGUUGCAGGGUAUAGACCCGAAACCCGGUGAUCUAGCCAUGGGCAGGUUGAAGGUUGGGUAACACUAACUGGAGGACCGAACCGACUAAUGUUGAAAAAUUAGCGGAUGACUUGUGGCUGGGGGUGAAAGGCCAAUCAAACCGGGAGAUAGCUGGUUCUCCCCGAAAGCUAUUUAGGUAGCGCCUCGUGAACUCAUCUUCGGGGGUAGAGCACUGUUUCGGCUAGGGGGCCAUCCCGGCUUACCAACCCGAUGCAAACUACGAAUACCGAAGAAUGUUAUCACGGGAGACACACGGCGGGUGCUAACGUCCGUCGUGAAGAGGGAAACAACCCAGACCGCCAGCUAAGGUCCCAAAGUCAUGGUUAAGUGGGAAACGAUGUGGGAAGGCACAGACAGCCAGGAUGUUGGCUUAGAAGCAGCCAUCAUUUAAAGAAAGCGUAAUAGCUCACUGGUCGAGUCGGCCUGCGCGGAAGAUGUAACGGGGCUAAACCAUGCACCGAAGCUGCGGCAGCGACGCUUAUGCGUUGUUGGGUAGGGGAGCGUUCUGUAAGCCGUUGAAGGUGGCCUGUGAGGGUUGCUGGAGGUAUCAGAAGUGCGAAUGCUGACAUAAGUAACGAUAAAGCGGGUGAAAAGCCCGCUCGCCGGAAGACCAAGGGUUCCUGUCCAACGUUAAUCGGGGCAGGGUGAGUCGACCCCUAAGGCGAGGCCGAAAGGCGUAGUCGAUGGGAAACAGGUUAAUAUUCCUGUACUUGGUGUUACUGCGAAGGGGGGACGGAGAAGGCUAUGUUAGCCGGGCGACGGUUGUCCCGGUUUAAGCAUGUAGGCGGAGGUUCCAGGUAAAUCCGGUACCUUAUUAACGCUGAGGUGUGAUGACGAGGCACUACGGUGCUGAAGUAACAAAUGCCCUGCUUCCAGGAAAAGCCUCUAAGCAUCAGGUAACAUCAAAUCGUACCCCAAACCGACACAGGUGGUCAGGUAGAGAAUACCAAGGCGCUUGAGAGAACUCGGGUGAAGGAACUAGGCAAAAUGGUGCCGUAACUUCGGGAGAAGGCACGCUGAUAUGUAGGUGAAGCCCCUGCGGGUGGAGCUGAAAUCAGUCGAAGAUACCAGCUGGCUGCAACUGUUUAUUAAAAACACAGCACUGUGCAAACACGAAAGUGGACGUAUACGGUGUGACGCCUGCCCGGUGCCGGAAGGUUAAUUGAUGGGGUUAGCGGUAACGCGAAGCUCUUGAUCGAAGCCCCGGUAAACGGCGGCCGUAACUAUAACGGUCCUAAGGUAGCGAAAUUCCUUGUCGGGUAAGUUCCGACCUGCACGAAUGGCGUAAUGAUGGCCAGGCUGUCUCCACCCGAGACUCAGUGAAAUUGAACUCGCUGUGAAGAUGCAGUGUACCCGCGGCAAGACGGAAAGACCCCGUGAACCUUUACUAUAGCUUGACACUGAACACUGGUCCUUGAUGUGUAGGAUAGGUGGGAGGCUUUGAAGCGUGGACGCCAGUCUGCGUGGAGCCGACCUUGAAAUACCACCCUUUAAUGGCUGGUGUUCUAACGUAGACCCGUAAUCCGGGUUGCGGACAGUGUCUGGUGGGUAGUUUGACUGGGGCGGUCUCCUCCCAAAGAGUAACGGAGGAGCACGAAGGUUAGCUAAUCCUGGUCGGACAUCAGGAGGUUAGUGCAAUGGCAUAAGCUAGCUUGACUGCGAGAGUGACGGCUCGAGCAGGUGCGAAAGCAGGUCAUAGUGAUCCGGUGGUUCUGAAUGGAAGGGCCAUCGCUCAACGGAUAAAAGGUACUCCGGGGAUAACAGGCUGAUACCGCCCAAGAGUUCAUAUCGACGGCGGUGUUUGGCACCUCGAUGUCGGCUCAUCACAUCCUGGGGCUGAAGUAGGUCCCAAGGGUAUGGCUGUUCGCCAUUUAAAGUGGUACGCGAGCUGGGUUUAGAACGUCGUGAGACAGUUCGGUCCCUAUCUGCCGUGGGCGCUGGAGAAUUGAGGGGGGCUGCUCCUAGUACGAGAGGACCGGAGUGGACGCAUCACUGGUGUUCGGGUUGUCAUGCCAAUGGCAUUGCCCGGUAGCUAAAUGCGGAAGAGAUAAGUGCUGAAAGCAUCUAAGCACGAAACUUGCCCCGAGAUGAGUUCUCCCUGACUCCUUGAGAGUCCUGAAGGAACGUUGAAGACGACGACGUUGAUAGGUCGGGUGUGUAAGCGUAGCGAUACGUUGAGCUAACCGAUACUAAUGAACCGUGAGGCUUAACCU